rnacentral:rRNA from 1 species
GUCUCUUUGAUUUGUAUUAAUAAAGAGUUGGGCCUGCUCGGUGAGGAUUAAAAUUUACAGSCUGCGGUAUUAUAACUGUACUAAGGUAGCAUAAUAAUUUSCCUUAUAAAUUAAGGCUAGAAUGAAUGGUUUGACGAAAAUUAAGCUGUCUCUGGUUUAUUUAUUAGAAAUUAAUUUUUAUAGUGAAAAAGCUUGGAUGAUUUAAAGGGACGAGAAGACCCUAUUGAGCUUGUUUAUUAAUAAUUAAAUAUGUAAAUAGAAUGUUUUAAUUGUUGAAAAUAAUUUUUAUUUAGUUUAUGUAUAUUUGGUUAUGUUAAUUUUGAUUGGGGUGACUAAGGGAAUAAAAAUUUGAGUAAUAACUUCCUUAAGAGUUUAUAAAUUUAUUGAGUAAUAAACCAAUUAUUUUUGCUUAUAAGAUAAGUUACCNNNGGGGUAACAGNGGUAAUUUUUUUUGAGAGUUCAUAUUGAAAGAAAAGAUUGCCGCCUCGAUGUUGGAUUAAAAAUAACCUUAAGGKGUAGAGGCUUUAUUAGGUGAAUCUGUUCSAUUUUUAAAAUUUUAC